rnacentral:rRNA from 1 species
AGAGGUGCUUGCACCUCUUGACAGCGGCGGACGGGUGAGUAAUGCCUAGGAAUCUGCCUGGUAGUGGGGGAUAACGCUCGGAAACGGACGCUAAUACCGCAUACGUCCUACGGGAGAAAGCAGGGGACCUUCGGGCCUUGCGCUAUCAGAUGAGCCUAGGUCGGAUUAGCUAGUUGGUGGGGUAAUGGCUCACCAAGGCGACGAUCCGUAACUGGUCUGAGAGGAUGAUCAGUCACACUGGAACUGAGACACGGUCCAGACUCCUACGGGAGGCGGGAGUGGGGAAUAUUGGACAAUGGGCGAAAGCCUGAUCCAGCCAUGCCGCGUGUGUGAAGAAGGUCUUCGGAUUGUAAAGCACUUUAAGUUGGGAGGAAGGGGGUUAACCUAAUACGUUAGUGUUUUGACGUUACCGACAGAAUAAAGCACCGGCUGGCUCUGUGCCAUCAGCCGCGGUAAUACAGAGGGUGCAAGCGUUAAUCGAAGUUACUGGGCGUAAAGCGCGCGUAGGUGGUUCGUUAAGUUGGAUGUGAAGGGGCCGGGCUCAAGCUGGGAACUGCAUUCAAAACUGUCGAGCUAGAGUAUGGUAGAGGGUGGAGGAAUUGCCUGUGUGGCGGUGAAAUGCGUAGAUAUAGGAAGGAGCACCAGUGGCGAAGGCGACCACCUGGACUGAUACUGACACUGAGGUGCGAAAGCGUGGGGAGCAACCAGGAUUAGAUACCCUGGUAGUCCACGCCGUAAACGAUGUCAACUAGCCGUUGGGAGCCUUGAGCUCUUAGUGGCGCAGCUGACGCAUUAAGUUGACCGCCUGGGGAGUACCGCCGCA